GGGGGCGACCUGGUUUCGACGUGGGUUGCAAAGCAAUGUAGGGCAUACCGAGGACCAGUGACCUCGUAAAUCCAUCUGGAAACCUUAUAGUUGCCAACGACGACAACUACGCCCUAGCCGCUUGACGGCUAGGCUCUGCACCGAUUCUUCUCUGGGUCGGAGCCCGGGCAACCGGGUUGCAGAGUCAUUUACAGAGAAUCGCAAGCAGGGUGGGGUCGCUUCA
rnacentral:tmRNA from 1 species